CCUACGGGUGGCAGCAGUGGGGAAUCUUCCACAAUGGGGGAAACUCUGAUGCAGCGACGCCGCGUGAGUGAUGAAGUAUUUCGGUAUGUAAAGCUCUAUCAGCAGGGAAGAUAAUGACGGUACCUGACUAAGAAGCUCCGGCUAAAUACGUGCCAGCAGCCGCGGUCAUACGUAUGGAGCAAGCGUUAUCCGGAUGUACUGGGUGGAAAGGGAGCGCAGACGGCAGGGCAAGUCUGAUGUGAAAGUCCGGGGCUCAACCCCGGGACUGCAUUGGAAACUGUCCGGCUAGAGUGCAGGAGAGGUAAGUGGAAUUCCUAGUGUAGCGGUGAAAUGCGUAGAUAUUAGGAGGAACACCAGUGGCGAAGGCGGCUUACCGGACUGUAACUGACGUUGAGGCUCGAAAGCGUGGGGAGCAAACAGGAUUAGAUACCCCAGUAGUC
rnacentral:rRNA from 1 species